rnacentral:rRNA from 1 species
UACAGAGGGAGCGAGCGUUGUUCGGAAUUACUGGGCGUAAAGGGCGCGUAGGCGGCCUUGUAAGUCUCGUGUGAAAUCCCUCGGCUCAACUGAGGAACUGCACGGGAAACUGUUUGGCUUGAGUUCGGGAGAGGGAAGCGGAAUUCCGGGUGUAGCGGUGAAAUGCGCAGAUAUCCGGAGGAACACCAGUGGCGAAGGCGGCUUCCUGGACCGACACUGACGCUGAGGCGCGAAAGCUAGGGGAGCAAACGGG